UACGUAGGAGGCAAGCGUUGUCCGGAAUCAUUGGGCGUAAAGAGCGUGUAGGCGGUCCGGUAAGUCGGCUGUGAAAGUCCAAGGCUCAACCUUGGGAUGCCGGUCGAUACUGCCGGACUAGAGUUCGGAAGAGGCGAGUGGAAUUCCCGGUGUAGCGGUGAAAUGCGCAGAUAUCGGGAGGAACACCUAUGGCGAAGGCAGCUCGCUGGGACGUUACUGACGCUGAGACGCGAAAGCGUGGGGAGCAAACAGG
rnacentral:rRNA from 1 species